rnacentral:misc_RNA from 1 species
UGACUCUUUCCAACCUCUGAUUGCAUGUAGUCCCUUUUGCAUCAGGAAUUAAUCUGGUCACAAUUAGAAUCCUAGGCUUGAAAUCCAGGCCUUGCUUCUGUAUUCUAAGAAGCAUUUCAUUCUCUAAGGCACGGACUUGAUCCAGUAUAUAAACAACCUGUCCACCAGUGUCAGGCAAACCUAAAACAUUUGCUUGCCCAAAGUAUCCAUGCGGAGACAAAAUCACAACAUUAAACACCAUGGGUAUUCUCC